UACGUAGGGUGCGAGCGUUGUCCGGAAUUAUUGGGCGUAAAGGGCUCGUAGGCGGUCUGUCGCGUCGGCUGUGAAAACUCGGGGCUCAACCCCGAGCCUGCAGUCGAUACGGGCAGACUAGAGUGCUGUAGGGGAGACUGGAAUUCCAGGUGUAGCGGUGAAAUGCGUAGAUAUCUGGAGGAACACCGGUGGCGAAGGCGGCAUUCUGGACUGCAACUGACACUGAAGAACGAAAGCCAGGGGAGCAAACGGG
rnacentral:rRNA from 1 species